rnacentral:rRNA from 1 species
UACGAAGGGUGCAAGCGUUACUCGGAAUUACUGGGCGUAAAGCGUGCGUAGGCGGUUUGUUAAGUCUGUCGUGAAAGCCCCGGGCUCAACCUGGGAAUGGCGAUGGAUACUGGCGAGCUAGAGUACGGUAGAGGAGAGUGGAAUUCCCGGUGUAGCAGUGAAAUGCGUAGAGAUCGGGAGGAACACCGAUGGCGAAGGCAGGUCUCUGGGCUGACACUGACGCUCAUGCACGAAAGCGUGGGGAGCAAACAGG